GGCUUUUGCUCUUUCCCAGUAAGGAGGAGGCAGACUUUGGCAGCAGAGUCAGCUCCAUGGGUAUGGGAGCCAGAACCAGCCUCAGCCAACUGCUGGAGAUGGAGCCCUAGAUCUAAACUCUCUCAAGUUCCGAGCAUUCAGUUUAAGAGUUGAUCAACACUUAGUGAACAUCCACAGUGUCACCAGGGAUGGCAGAGUGAUGUCACAGAUACAUCUGUCAGAAGCUCACUGUACCCUGACCACUUCUCACUUUAUAUCCUCUACUCUGAACCCCUCCCCAUGCAUUCAUUUGGAAGACAUUGGAUUGUCCCAGUAAGGGAGCAUUAAAAAUGCAGCCAAAUGCAACUUGCAUGUUUUCCACCUUCUCAGCGAGCCUGAAUUAAUAGGUCAGUCC
rnacentral:lncRNA from 1 species